rnacentral:rRNA from 1 species
AUUGAACGCUGGCGGCAGGCCUAACACAUGCAAGUCGAGCGCGCGGCGGACGGGUGUGUAAUGUAUGGGGACAGCCCGCUAGAGGGGGAUAACUACUGGAAAAGGUGGCUAAUACCGCAUACUAUCGGAUAACCCAUAUGGGGUUAGCUAGUAGGUGGGGUAAAGGAUCACCUAGGCGACGAGCUCUCGCUGGUCUGAGAGGAUGAAAAGCUACCCUAGGGCGGAGACGAGGCCCGGGCUACAACGGAGGCGAGGGAGGAGAAUGUUACACAAGGGACGCAGGCCUGAUGCGGCCAUGCCGCGUGUAUGAAAGAGUGCUUAGGGUUUUAAAGGACUUUCAGCUGGAUGGCGUUACCCGCAGAAGAAGGACCGGCUAACUCCGUGCCAGCAGCCGCGGUAAUUC